AAGUCGUAACAAGGUUUCCGUAGGUGAACCUGCGGAAGGAUCAUUACAAAUAAAGCUGGUAGGAAGUGGGGUCUUGAUCUGUAAGUGGUAGAGCGAACAGUCCGGCUGCCUCCCGAAAUGUCUUACAUGUCCCCCACUAGAAUGUUAUAGAAUGUCAUUUAUGGGCUUUACGGCCUUUAAACUUAUACAA
rnacentral:misc_RNA from 1 species